AUUGAACGCUGGCGGCAGGCCUAACACAUGCAAGUCGAGCGGAUGAAGGGAGCUUGCUUCUGGAUUCAGCGGCGGACGGGUGUGUAAUGCCUAGGAAUCUGCCUGGUAGUGGGGGAUAACGUCCGGAAACGGGCGCUAAUACUGCAUACGUCCUGAGGGAGAAAGUGGGGGAUCUUCGGACCUCACGCUAUCAGAUGAGCCUAGGUCGGAUUAGCUAGUUGGUGGGGUAAAGGCCUACCAAGGCGACGAUCCGUAACUGGUCUGAGAGGAUGAUCAGUCACACUGGAACUGAGACACGGUCCAGACGCCUACGAGAGGCAGCAGUGGGGAAUAUUGGACAAUGGGCGAAAGCCUGAUCCAGCCAUGCCGCGUGUGUGAAGAAGGUCUUCGGAGUGUAAAGAACUUUUAGGUGGGAGGAAGGGCAGUAAGUUAAUACCUUGCUGUUUUGACGUUACCAACAGAAGAAGCACCGGCUAACUUCGUG
rnacentral:rRNA from 1 species